UGGGGUAUCGCCAAGCGGCUAAGGCACAGGAUUUUGACUCCUGCAUUCGCCGGUCCGAAUCCGGCUAUCCCAG
rnacentral:tRNA from 1 species